rnacentral:lncRNA from 1 species
GAACCCUACCAAUAGAAUCAAUGACCUUUUGGACACAACAAGAAUCAAAGUAAACCAUUCCAAUCUCCACCAUGAAACCUUGCUUACAAUCAAGCCCUACGAAACUCAACAUAUAAUCACCUUCCCUAAAAAAUCCUCCUUAUAGUCAACCUCUACCAUAGCCCUAUAAUCCAUAACACAACCUGUUUCUUUUAUUUUUCAUGUCAUCCCUUAAUUGGCAACUACAAGUGCAAUGUAGUUGUAACUAUAACCACAAACAAUCAUAGCUGCAACCCCAAUAGGCCCAAUAGCCCCA